rnacentral:rRNA from 1 species
UACAGAGGUCUCAAGCGUUGUUCGGAUUCAUUGGGCGUAAAGGGUGCGUAGGCGGCGCGGUAAGUCGGGUGUGAAAUCUCGGAGCUUAACUCCGAAACUGCAUUCGAUACUGCCGUGCUUGAGGACUGGAGAGGAGACUGGAAUUUACGGUGUAGCGGUGAAAUGCGUAGAUAUCGUAAGGAAGACCAGUGGCGAAGGCGGGUCUCUGGACAGUUCCUGACGCUGAGGCACGAAGGUCAGGGGAGCAAACGGGAUUAGAACCAGUACCCGAC